UGCUUAUAUGUGUAAGCGUAUGAUAUUUUCGUAACUCGCAUCGAUUUAUUGGAUUCAAGGUGUGAACGUAAGAACAGAUGACGAUAAUUCGAAUGCGCCACUCAAUGUUAAAGGGCGGGAAACGGAAGGAAGAAUAUUUACGUAUAGAGAGUGGUACGACCAGUUUGUUCGACCUCUUGGAUCUAAGCCAAAUAGGAAUUGGCUAUUAACCAAAUCAAUGGUACCUAAAUUACCAGCGCACCACGCGACCCGUUGUACGUAGAGAGACGUCGACAAAUCUGAAGAUAAAGGAAGAAGUCGGUAAGAAGUAGCGACAAAGAAGGGAAAUGUCUCUGUAAGAAAAAUAGAGCCGAUUUAGAAUGGCGACGACGUCAACGAAUUCUCUCGAGCUAGAGGAACAACGGAAGUUCACCUUCUAUUCCGUAUCUCCUUUGUAUAUUUGAAGGAUUUCCACUAAUGAAAUAAUUAAAAUUACAAACCUUCGUGUACCGACGGCGAAGACAAGAAAAGGAAUAGUAGCGAUAGUACGGAAGGUAGAGAAGGGACAAAUCCCUCGGUGCUUCCAUCAGCCUCUGAAACGCUCGUCAGCUCAGUUCCUAUCAGCUUUACCAACUUUCUCCAUUUUCCACUGACUCUCAGGCAAGUUAAUGAAAACC